GGAAUAGGUCAAGGCAGUCGUAAAGUAGGAAGGCUGGACUUCCUAGCGUCUCAAUGGCAUUGAGAAGGUCAGGGGUUCGACUCCCCUUAGCUCCA
rnacentral:tRNA from 1 species